GGGUUGUGAGGUUAAGCGACUAAGCGUACACGGUGGAUGCCCUGGCAGUCAGAGGCGAUGAAGGGCGUGCUAAUCUGCGAUAAGCGCCGGUAAGGUGAUAUGAACCGUUAUAACCGGCGAUACCCGAAUGGGGAAACCCAGUGUGAUUCGUCACACUAUCAUUAACUGAAUCCAUAGGUUAAUGAGGCGAACCGGGGGAACUGAAACAUCUAAGUACCCCGAGGAAAAGAAAUCAACCGAGAUUCCCCCAGUAGCGGCGAGCGAACGGGGAGGAGCCCAGAGCCUGAAUCAGCAUGUGUGUUAGUGGAAGCGUCUGGAAAGGCGCGCGAUACAGGGUGACAGCCCCGUACACAAAAGCGCAUGUGCUGUGAGCUCGAUGAGUAGGGCGGGACACGUGGUAUCCUGUCUGAAUAUGGGGGGACCAUCCUCCAAGGCUAAAUACUCCUGACUGACCGAUAGUGAACCAGUACCGUGAGGGAAAGGCGAAAAGAACCCCGGCGAGGGGAGUGAAAAAGAACCUGAAACCGUGUACGUACAAGCAGUGGGAGCNNNNNNNNNNNNNNNNNNNNGGGCGUUAAGUUGCAGGGUAUAGACCCGAAACCCGGUGAUCUAGCCAUGGGCAGGUUGAAGGUUGGGUAACACUAACUGGAGGACCGAACCGACUAAUGUUGAAAAAUUAGCGGAUGACCUGUGGCUGGGGGUGAAAGGCCAAUCAAACCGGGAGAUAGCUGGUUCUCCCCGAAAGCUAUUUAGGUAGCGCCUCGUGAAUUCAUCUCCGGGGGUAGAGCACUGUUUCGGCUAGGGGGCCAUCCCGGCUUACCAACCCGAUGCAAACUGCGAAUACCGGAGAAUGUUAUCACGGGAGACACACGGCGGGUGCUAACGUCCGUCGUGAAGAGGGAAACAACCCAGACCGCCAGCUAAGGUCCCAAAGUCAUGGUUAAGUGGGAAACGAUGUGGGAAGGCCCAGACAGCCAGGAUGUUGGCUUAGAAGCAGCCAUCAUUUAAAGAAAGCGUAAUAGCUCACUGGUCGAGUCGGCCUGCGCGGAAGAUGUAACGGGGCUAAACCAUGCACCGAAGCUGCGGCAGCGANNUGCUGGAGGUAUCAGAAGUGCGAAUGCUGACAUAAGUAACGAUAAAGCGGGUGAAAAGCCCGCUCGCCGGAAGACCAAGGGUUCCUGUCCAACGUUAAUCGGGGCAGGGUGAGUCGACCCCUAAGGCGAGGCCGAAAGGCGUAGUCGAUGGGAAACGGGUUAAUAUUCCCGUACUUGGUGUUACUGCGAAGGGGGGACGGAGAAGGCUAUGUUGGCCGGGCGACGGUUGUCCCGGUUUAAGCGUGUAGGUGUGUGUUCCAGGUAAAUCCGGUUCACUUUAACACUGAGGCGUGACGACGAGGCACUACGGUGCUGAAGCAACAAAUGCCCUGCUUCCAGGAAAAGCCUCUAAGCAUCAGGUAACAUCAAAUCGUACCCCAAACCGACACAGGUGGUCAGGUAGAGAAUACCAAGGCGCUUGAGAGAACUCGGGUGAAGGAACUAGGCAAAAUGGUGCCGUAACUUCGGGAGAAGGCACGCUGACACGUAGGUGAAGUGAUUUACUCAUGGAGCUGAAGUCAGUCGAAGAUACCAGCUGGCUGCAACUGUUUAUUAAAAACACAGCACUGUGCAAACACGAAAGUGGACGUAUACGGUGUGACGCCUGCCCGGUGCCGGAAGGUUAAUUGAUGGGGUCAGCGCAAGCGAAGCUCCUGAUCGAAGCCCCGGUAAACGGCGGCCGUAACUAUAACGGUCCUAAGGUAGCGAAAUUCCUUGUCGGGUAAGUUCCGACCUGCACGAAUGGCGUAAUGAUGGCCAGGCUGUCUCCACCCGAGACUCAGUGAAAUUGAACUCGCUGUGAAGAUGCAGUGUACCCGCGGCAAGACGGAAAGACCCCGUGAACCUUUACUAUAGCUUGACACUGAACAUUGAGCCUUGAUGUGUAGGAUAGGUGGGAGGCUUUGAAGUGUGGACGCCAGUCUGCAUGGAGCCGACCUUGAAAUACCACCCUUUAAUGUUUGAUGUUCUAACGUGGACCCGUAAUCCGGGUUGCGGACAGUGUCUGGUGGGUAGUUUGACUGGGGCGGUCUCCUCCUAAAGAGUAACGGAGGAGCACGAAGGUUGGCUAAUCCUGGUCGGACAUCAGGAGGUUAGUGCAAUGGCAUAAGCCAGCUUGACUGCGAGCGUGACGGCGCGAGCAGGUGCGAAAGCAGGUCAUAGUGAUCCGGUGGUUCUGAAUGGAAGGGCCAUCGCUCAACGGAUAAAAGGUACUCCGGGGAUAACAGGCUGAUACCGCCCAAGAGUUCAUAUCGACGGCGGUGUUUGGCACCUCGAUGUCGGCUCAUCACAUCCUGGGGCUGAAGUAGGUCCCAAGGGUAUGGCUGUUCGCCAUUUAAAGUGGUACGCGAGCUGGGUUUAGAACGUCGUGAGACAGUUCGGUCCCUAUCUGCCGUGGGCGCUGGAGAACUGAGGGGGGCUGCUCCUAGUACGAGAGGACCGGAGUGGACGCAUCACUGGUGUUCGGGUUGUCAUGCCAAUGGCACUGCCCGGUAGCUAAAUGCGGAAGAGAUAAGUGCUGAAAGCAUCUAAGCACGAAACUUGCCCCGAGAUGAGUUCUCCCUGAGACUUAGAGUCUCCUGAAGGAACGUUGAAGACGACC
rnacentral:rRNA from 1 species